rnacentral:lncRNA from 1 species
UCAUAUACUCAGUACAUUCAGUCGUACUGACGCAUUCGUGCUAUGGUGUUUAUUUAACACCAUAGGUACAGAGGCACGAGUUUCAGAGCAGUAAUAGCAUUAUAGAUUUCAGCAGUCAGUGCUCCUCUUUAUUCGAGGACAAUAUUAUUAUUACUUUAUUACAGUAUUUCAGAUUAGUUUUUUAGUUCAUGGAGUUAGUUGGAGACAUAUUCCUUCAACUCCUUAUUCAGUUCAG